AACGAACGCUGGCGGCAGGCUUAACACAUGCAAGUCGAACGCAUCCUUCGGGGUGAGUGGCAGACGGGUGAGUAACGCGUGGGAACGUGCCCUUCAGUUCGGGAUAACCCAGGGAAACUUGGGCUAAUACCGGAUACGUGCGAGAGCAGAAGAUUUAUCGCUGAAGGAUCGGCCCACGUCUGAUUAGGUAGUUGGUGGGGUAAUGGCCCACCAAGGCGACGAUCAGUAGCUGGUCUGAGAGGAUGAUCAGCCACAUUGGGACUGAGACACGGCCCAAACUCCUACGGGAGGCAGCAGUGGGGAAUAUUGGACAAUGGGCGCAAGCCUGAUCCAGCCAUGCCGCGUGAGUGAUGAAGGCCUUAGGGUUGUAAAGCUCUUUCGUCCGGGACGAUAAUGACGGUACCGGAAGAAGAAGCCCCGGCUAACUUCGUGCCAGCCGCCGCAGUAA
rnacentral:rRNA from 1 species